rnacentral:rRNA from 1 species
AGCGUACACGGUGGAUGCCCUGGCAGUCAGAGGCGAUGAAGGACGUGCUAAUCUGCGAAAAGCGCCGGUAAGGUGAUAUGAACCGUUAUAACCGGCGAUGUCCGAAUGGGGAAACCCAGUGUGUUUCGACACACUAUCAUUAACUGAAUCCAUAGGUUAAUGAGGCGAACCGGGGGAACUGAAACAUCUAAGUACCCCGAGGAAAAGAAAUCAACCGAGAUUCCCCCAGUAGCGGCGAGCGAACGGGGAGGAGCCCAGAGCCUGAAUCAGCAUGUGUGUUAGUGGAAGCGUCUGGAAAGGCGCGCGAUACAGGGUGACAGCCCCGUACACAAAAGCGCACGUGCUGUGAGCUCGAUGAGUAGGGCGGGACACGUGGUAUCCUGUCUGAAUAUGGGGGGACCAUCCUCCAAGGCUAAAUACUCCUGACUGACCGAUAGUGAACCAGUACCGUGAGGGAAAGGCGAAAAGAACCCCGGCGAGGGGAGUGAAACAGAACCUGAAACCGUGUACGUACAAGCAGUGGGAGCACAGGUUUACCUGUGUGACUGCGUACCUUUUGUAUAAUGGGUCAGCGACUUAUAUUCUGUAGCAAGGUUAACCGAAUAGGGGAGCCGGAGGGAAACCGAGUCUUAAUUGGGCGUUAAGUUGCAGGGUAUAGACCCGAAACCCGGUGAUCUAGCCAUGGGCAGGUUGAAGGUUGGGUAACACUAACUGGAGGACCGAACCGACUAAUGUUGAAAAAUUAGCGGAUGACCUGUGGCUGGGGGUGAAAGGCCAAUCAAACCGGGAGAUAGCUGGUUCUCCCCGAAAGCUAUUUAGGUAGCGCCUCGUGAAUUCAUCUCCGGGGGUAGAGCACUGUUUCGGCUAGGGGGCCAUCCCGGCUUACCAACCCGAUGCAAACUGCGAAUACCGGAGAAUGUUAUCACGGGAGACACACGGCGGGUGCUAACGUCCGUCGUGAAGAGGGAAACAACCCAGACCGCCAGCUAAGGUCCCAAAGUCAUGGUUAAGUGGGAAACGAUGUGGGAAGGCCCAGACAGCCAGGAUGUUGGCUUAGAAGCAGCCAUCAUUUAAAGAAAGCGUAAUAGCUCACUGGUCGAGUCGGCCUGCGCGGAAGAUGUAACGGGGCUAAACCAUGCACCGAAGCUGCGGCAGCGAACGUAUCACCCAAGACAACUUUACGGAGUUGACGAUUGACGGAGCGAAGCGACGUCAAAGCGUUCAUUAAAGUCGAGUUGGCUUAGGGAUACGUUCGUUGGGUAGGGGAGCGUUCUGUAAGCCGUUGAAGGUGUGCUGUGAGGCAUGCUGGAGGUAUCAGAAGUGCGAAUGCUGACAUAAGUAACGAUAAAGCGGGUGAAAAGCCCGCUCGCCGGAAGACCAAGGGUUCCUGUCCAACGUUAAUCGGGGCAGGGUGAGUCGACCCCUAAGGCGAGGCCGAAAGGCGUAGUCGAUGGGAAACGGGUUAAUAUUCCCGUACUUGGUGUUACUGCGAAGGGGGGACGGAGAAGGCUAUGUUGGCCGGGCGACGGUUGUCCCGGUUUAAGCGUGUAGGCUGGUUUUCCAGGCAAAUCCGGAAAAUCAAGGCUGAGGCGUGACGACGAGGCACCACGGUGCUGAAGCAACAAAUGCCCUGCUUCCAGGAAAAGCCUCUAAGCUCCAGGUAACACGAAAUCGUACCCCAAACCGACACAGGUGGUCAGGUAGAGAAUACCAAGGCGCUUGAGAGAACUCGGGUGAAGGAACUAGGCAAAAUGGUGCCGUAACUUCGGGAGAAGGCACGCUGACACGUAGGUGAAGUGAUUUACUCAUGGAGCUGAAGUCAGUCGAAGAUACCAGCUGGCUGCAACUGUUUAUUAAAAACACAGCACUGUGCAAACACGAAAGUGGACGUAUACGGUGUGACGCCUGCCCGGUGCCGGAAGGUUAAUUGAUGGGGUUAUCCUCGCGGAGAAGCUCCUGAUCGAAGCCCCGGUAAACGGCGGCCGUAACUAUAACGGUCCUAAGGUAGCGAAAUUCCUUGUCGGGUAAGUUCCGACCUGCACGAAUGGCGUAAUGAUGGCCAGGCUGUCUCCACCCGAGACUCAGUGAAAUUGAACUCGCUGUGAAGAUGCAGUGUACCCGCGGCAAGACGGAAAGACCCCGUGAACCUUUACUAUAGCUUGACACUGAACAUUGAGCCUUGAUGUGUAGGAUAGGUGGGAGGCUUUGAAGCGUGGACGCCAGUCUGCGUGGAGCCAACCUUGAAAUACCACCCUUUAAUGUUUGAUGUUCUAACGUGGACCCGUUACCCGGGUUGCGGACAGUGUCUGGUGGGUAGUUUGACUGGGGCGGUCUCCUCCCAAAGAGUAACGGAGGAGCACGAAGGUUGGCUAAUCCUGGUCGGACAUCAGGAGGUUAGUGCAAUGGCAUAAGCCAGCUUGACUGCGAGCGUGACGGCGCGAGCAGGUGCGAAAGCAGGUCAUAGUGAUCCGGUGGUUCUGAAUGGAAGGGCCAUCGCUCAACGGAUAAAAGGUACUCCGGGGAUAACAGGCUGAUACCGCCCAAGAGUUCAUAUCGACGGCGGUGUUUGGCACCUCGAUGUCGGCUCAUCACAUCCUGGGGCUGAAGUAGGUCCCAAGGGUAUGGCUGUUCGCCAUUUAAAGUGGUACGCGAGCUGGGUUUAGAACGUCGUGAGACAGUUCGGUCCCUAUCUGCCGUGGGCGCUGGAGAACUGAGGGGGGCUGCUCCUAGUACGAGAGGACCGGAGUGGACGCAUCACUGGUGUUCGGGUUGUCAUGCCAAUGGCACUGCCCGGUAGCUAAAUGCGGAAGAGAUAAGUGCUGAAAGCAUCUAAGCACGAAACUUGCCCCGAGAUGAGUUCU